UAUGUUAACUUAACCAUCAGAGGGCGCUGUUUCUCCAACAUCAGGGUAGAAAACAAACUCCAGCAUGGAUUCUGAACUCAGCCUCAGCAGGAACAACAGGAAAUCCUGAAUCAGGAAUGUGAGGAAGCCAUAAACAAACGGUUCCGCCACCUCUGUGGGAAAUGCUCUUAGGCUUUUUCUAUCAGGCAAACGAUUGAGUCGCCCGCAGACAUCUUUGCGUUCUGUGACUAUAAGUGGUUGAGGCUACUGCUAACUAGCUGCUAAUAAACCCUGGUGAGCUAUCUAGCCUUUGCAACUAAAUGGGUAAGUGCAAAUUUAUUGACAGUUGGUUCAAUGACAUUUUCGGCACUGGCUCACCGAUAAGAGGCGAGGUGCAUUAUGUGCAAAACACAACAAAAAACAAACUUUUAAGGUAGGCAUUAUGGGGAUUAAGGUUAAAGAAAGCCUUAUGCAACUUGAAAAUUACAAAGCUGCUAACAAGAGCCACAAACAGAUCCCAGAAACUUCACAAUUACUCCACUUUGACUAAUACAGCAGGAUCUCCCAACCAUUCCUUGUAUUUGUGUCUCUUCAGUCUUAAAUUUAAUUCAAACGUCUUAAAAAGUCUUAAAUUUGACUUGCUGAAACCUGUAGCUCCUUUGUAAGCUAUUUAGAAGGAUAAUACUUCAUAAAAAAAACAAAAGGUACAUGGCACAGGCAGCUCAGAAAGGCCGUGUUUUACCUGGAUUUUACACUCAUCUCCUCAAAAAAAAAAAAAGCCCAGCUAUUGCUGCAACUGUAAGUCCGGGUAUUUGGCUUGGUCCACGGAGAGUGAACCUUUGGCUCUCUCAAAGUGAACAUAUUUCCACUAAGUCUUGGCACAAGAGGAUUGGCAGGAGCAGGGAUUGAGUUGGACGGACUGGGAAGAGACUGAGGCUCAGAUAAGACUUGAACAAACACAAAGUUCUGAUGUGAUCCUGGCGUACGCUCUGGGUCAGUUCAAAAGAGUUUCAGCCCGACAUUAAAAAUGUAACGUGGAUUCUUGUGCAUUUUGACAUGAAGAGUAACAAUGCACAGGUAUGACAUUCCUGGUAAAGAUCAGAUGCAAUAAACUGACCUGAGAUAAAGUCAGUUUAUUGCAGUUGUUCGAUUUAUACAAACCCAACAUUUAAUUCAAGAACAUUUCUUCAUUCGGGGGGGCAAAAGUCACAAUUAUUGGUAGGUUUAACAACUCUUUUGUAAUAAAUGUAGUUUUAUGUCUACUUUUUAAAAGAAAAUUGAUAAAUGUUUCUAGGAACUUUUAAAAUAUAUAAACCAUGACUUUCUUUUCCGCCAGGGCAUAAUUUGAUGCCAGCCAGUUGUUAGUGACGAAAAGACAAAAAGUAAACGCAAGGUGAAUUUAUUUUCAUGCUCUUUAUACAUCUUCAUCAAGAGUGCCGAUAAAUGUGUAGCACUCUCCUGGGCUUCCCGUCUAAAGUGGAUAAAACCGGUUUUACACUAGACUGAUACUUGAAGUGCUACAUGGACUUUACUGGAACUGAUGUGAAGAGAGGGCACAGAAAGAAACAAUUACAACGACCUUGUAUCUAAAGGUUUACUGAUUCAUACCAGAAAUGCAUGAGUUCAGUUUUUUUUUAAAUAUAUUUUAUCUCUGAAAAAUUGUCAAAACAAGCCUGCGUGGAGCCUUUCAAAUUCUCCCUAUGCAUGGACGGGUUGGCUCUGGUUUCCUCCCACCGUCCAAAGACUUUUAUGUUAACUGGUUUCCCCAAAUUGUUUUUAAGUACAAUGGUGCGCAUGCAUGGUUUCUCAGCAUCACACUGUGUUCAAACUGUUGUUUUGUGCAGAUCCUUUCACUCACUGAUCACCGGAGACGGGCAGCAGCAACCCUGCAAAGAUAAGUGGUGUAUGGAUGGAUGGAAAUCUCCCGCGCGUUGAUGGGCCGCCAGACGGUUUUUAAGCAGAAUAUGGCUUAGCUGUUUUUUUCUGAAAUAAGCUGGAAACAUUACGGGCCGUGUGCCGUUACACGUACAUGGGAUUAAAUUAGAAAGCCAUCGAAAAGUUGCUUUAUUUCAGAAAUUCAAUUCAUAAAGUAAAACUUAUAAAGACCCAUUACACACCGCAAUAAUUCCAGUGAUCGGUUCUGCUAGCUUUGAUAGCUUUGGCUUGCAGCCAGUAAAAAUCCAGCAGUACGACACUAAUAAAAACGAUCUUUAAUACAGAGAUGUUAUGUUAUGACCAUGUUAUGGCCUUCACCAUUAUGGGGAAGACUGCUGAGCUGGCGCUCUGCAGCUGGCAGUCGUUGACAGCCUCCGUAAGGAGCGUGUGACCCAAAAGGUCCAUUUGCAGAAAGGCUGAGUGUUCCAUGAGGUCGAUGAGCGAGCACGUCAAGAGAAAGUUGAGUGGAAGGAAAAAGUGCGACACGAGCAUCCAGGUAUCCUGGAGCCCAGGGAAGAUUGUGAAGCGAAGUCCCUUUAGGGAUUUUGGGGAGAUUCAUAAGUCUCAAUGCUUCAAGGUUCACCACGAACUUAUAUGUAGCAAUGUGUCUGUGCUUAACUUUUAGGUUUCACUUUUAAAUUAAUUAGUAUAGUGAGAUGACCUGUAUGGAGAUGAUAACGUUUGUUUUUUAUUCAUUUAUUUUUUUAGCUGCUGAACUCUUUUUCCACCCUGUGUGUAUUAACCUUUUGCUUGUUACCCAAUGUAAAAAA